rnacentral:rRNA from 1 species
ACUCCUACGGGAGGCAGCAGUGGGGAAUAUUGCACAAUGGGGGAAACCCUGAUGCAGCCAUGCCGCGUGUGUGAAGAAGGCCUUCGGGUUGUAAAGCACUUUCAGUAGGGAGGAAGGUAGUGUAGUUAACACCUGCAUUAUUUGACGUUACCUACAGAAGAAGCACCGGCUAACUCCGUGCCAGCAGCGCGGUAAUACGGAGGGUGCGAGCGUUAAUCGGAAUUACUGGGCGUAAAGCGCAUGCAGGCGGCCUGUUAAGUCAGAUGUGAAAGCCCGGGGCUUAACCUCGGAAUUGCAUUUGAAACUGGCAGGCUAGAGUCUUGUAGAGGGGGGUAGAAUUUCAGGUGUAGCGGUGAAAUGCGUAGAGAUCUGAAGGAAUACAGUGGCGAAGGCGGCCCCUGGACAAAGACUGACGCUCAGAUGCGAAAAGCGUGGGGAGCAAACAGGAUUAGAUACCCUGGU